AACGAACGCUGGCGGCAUGCCUAACACAUGCAAGUCGAACGAGACCUUCGGGUCUAGUGGCGCACGGGUGCGUAACGCGUGGGAACCUGCCCUUAGGUUCGGAAUAACUCCCCGAAAGGGGUGCUAAUACCGGAUAAUGUCUUCGGACCAAAGAUUUAUCGCCUUUGGAUGGGCCCGCGUUGGAUUAGCUAGUUGGUAGGGUAAAAGCCUACCAAGGCGACGAUCCAUAGCUGGUCUGAGAGGAUGAUCAGCCACACUGGGACUGAGACACGGCCCAGACUCCUACGGGAGGCAGCAGUGGGGAAUAUUGGACAAUGGGCGAAAGCCUGACCCAGCCAUGCCGCGUGAAUGAUGAAGGUCUUAGGGUUGUAAAGCUCUUUUACCCGGGAUGAUAAUGACAGUACCGGGAGAAUAAGCUCCGGCUAACUCCGUG
rnacentral:rRNA from 1 species